AUGGCACAUGUGCCAAAGAUAGCAUGCUGAGUGCUGGAGCUCAUUACUAGGAAGGCAGAGGGAUGGAGGGGGAGCUACUCCCUGCCCCCUCUCCAUCCCACCAGACAACAUUUUUUUCACUUCACCCACCUUUCUGCCCAGAAGCCCAAUGAGAUCACACAGGGGGUAAAGUGGUCAGCUCACAAGUGGCUCUACACUGGCUGAGGACAUUCCUCACUUCACCUGCUCCUCUGUCAGGCAGCCCAAUGGGAGUACUUCCUCUCUCCCCUAUUUGGGGAUCAAGGGAUUUUCAGACCUGGAAGGAAUCUCAGAAGCCAUGAUGUGUCUCAUGCAUUUAAAGGAAGACCCUAUAAUAGACUUGACAUUCUUGAAGGCAUCUCAACCUGUCACAAGGCAUUGGGAGGGUUUCUUUAGAGACUAUUGGUGAGACAUGAAGGGUAAAGGGAGUGUGCCUUUGAAGAUCAACCACAGGCAUGCAGCAGUGACCGCUGAGAGUUUGUUGCACAUGGCUAUUAAGAACCUUUCUCCAAAUAGAUGUGCUUAGAAGGUGACAGGGAAUAGAGGCCAACCUGGGGCCUUCCAGACAGAUCUAUGGGCACAAAAAAUUUCCCUGUGACAGGAGACACUAUGAAGCACAAAGGAGAGAAAGAAACCCUAUUUCCUGGGGGUGGGUUGGAUGUCACGGGAUGAGGUUGGCUACUUUUCAGCUCUUGAUUUAGUGGUAGGUUAGACAAAAUCUACCAGAGAUUUUAAAGAUUAUGUCACCUCUGACUACUACCUUUCACAGAAGACCCGAGAUAUGUCCCUGUACCCAUUAGGUUCUUUAUUUUUAUACCUGCUUAUAUCACCUGUUGUUGGCAUGUGGUUCUGGGUAAUUAUCCUGGGAGUCUUCACAAAUUAAUCCUGCUGUCACUUCCCAAAUGCAACAGAUAGGUCAACAGCUAUGAUUAAAUUGUCUGUGUUAAUGAGUGGUUAGCUCACAUAUGAUUAUAGUUUCCUCUCCAAGUUUCUGUAAAGCUAUUUAAAGACAUUUUAUCCACUGAAGUUAUGUACACCUAAUCCUUUGAGGCA
rnacentral:lncRNA from 1 species